GUGCUCGCUUCAGCAGCACAUAUACUAAAAUUAGAAUGAUACAGAGAAGAUUAGCAUGG
ensembl:snRNA U6 U6 spliceosomal RNA